AGAGUUUGAUUUUGGCUCAGGAUGAACGCUGGCGGCGUGCCUAAUACAUGCAAGUCGAACGCACAGCGAAAGGUGCUUGCACCUUUCAAGUGAGUGGCGAACGGGUGAGUAACACGUGGAUAACCUACCUCAAGGUUGGGGAUAACAUUUGGAAACAGAUGCUAAUACCGAAUAAAACUUCGUAUCGCAUGAUACAAGGUUAAAAGGCGCUACGGCGUCACCUAGAGAUGGAUCCGCGGUGCAUUAGUUAGUUGGUGGGGUAAAGGCCUACCAAGACAAUGAUGCAUAGCCGAGUUGAGAGACUGAUCGGCCACAUUGGGACUGAGACACGGCCCAAACUCCUACGGGAGGCUGCAGUAGGGAAUCUUCCACAAUGGGCGAAAGCCUGAUGGAGCAACGCCGCGUGUGUGAUGAAGGCUUUCGGGUCGUAAAGCACUGUUGUAUGGGAAGAACAGCUAGAGUAGGGAAUGACUUUAGUUUGACGGUACCAUACCAGAAAGGGACGGCUAAAUACGUGCCAGCAGCCGCGGUAAUACGUAUGUCCCGAGCGUUAUCCGGAUUUAUUGGGCGUAAAGCGAGCGCAGACGGUUGAUUAAGUCUGAUGUGAAAGCCCGGAGCUCAACUCCGGAAAGGCAUUGGAAACUGGUCAACUUGAGUGCAGUAGAGGUAAGUGGAACUCCAUGUGUAGCGGUGGAAUGCGUAGAUAUAUGGAAGAACACCAGCGGCGAAGGCGGCUUACUGGACUGUAACUGACGUUGAGGCUCGAAAGUGUGGGUAGCAAACAGGAUUAGAUACCCUGGUAGUCCACACCGUAAACGAUGAACACCAGGUGAUAGGA
rnacentral:rRNA from 1 species